AAAUAGAAAAAAAAAAAUCAAACACAUUAGGAGGGAUAAGUGAAAGUGGACAUUGACUGUUAAUGUUGAUCUAUUCAGUUAAAUACAACAUUAGGAGAAAAAUAUGUUGAAUAUUGAAAUUUAAUUAGUCUAAAUAUUAUGAACUAAAUAAUUUUUUUNUCUUAUUUUUCUUGCGAAAAAAUGUUAAUAACUCUGAGUAAGUACUAAACUUAGAAUUAAUUGUUAAAAUAGUUAUAUUACCAGUCUGUUAAGUAUUAUAUAAGAUUUAAGUCACUAAUGUAACUUGGUACCUACUAAAAUUUCAAACAAGACUUUGUUUCAUGAGGUACCUAAACAGUUUUCAAAGAUAAAUUUGUAUCAUUUAAAAUUCUUUGAAACAUACGUAAUUAGUUUAAAAUCUAAUGAAUUUUUUUAAUGUAAUAUGUAAGACUAGUAUUUGACCACAUUGCAUCGAACAAACUGCCUGUAAAUAAUCUAGAUCUUGUUGAAGCCCAUUAUCUUUAUUGAGUUGAUGUUGUCAAUUCGUGCCUCGUGGAUGACUUCUGGAGGUGUACAAUAUCGUAUUUCUUCUUUUGCUACGCUGAGUACUUGACAUUGUAUCCUAACAAGUUCCGAAGCGAUAUCAUUCCUCAUUUGGUAAAAAUGCACUCUCAAAGGAUAUAGGUACUUACAGAAAAUAGAAAUAGAGUUUACACGGCACAUUUUCGAUCGAGAGAAAGCAUUGUUUUUCUGUGCUCUAAUGCUUAGNAAAAGAAGUCUCUGAUUUUAAGAGGACGCCAUAUCCGCAUGUGUUGACUCCGCUUACAAGUGCGUAACAAAGCAAAUUUUACGUUCUGAAGAUCAUGUUUAGCUCCUUUAGUUUAAAAAUCAGAGUGAAUUGACCUCUUAUAAAAUUAAAGAUUUGUACAAGGCUUGAUGUCGUGAUAGAAGAGGGUGCCCAGUGACACUACUUCAAACUUGAACAACAUAAGCUGCUGAUUUUUGUUUUAUGGCUAUUAUGAGAAGGUCAAUAUUUGAUAAAUUUCCACAUUAUGUCAGUAUACUAAAAUGNGUCGAUUUAGAAUUAUCUUGUCGCAUCAAGAAAUGAAUUUUAUUUAAUAAAAUAAUAAAAUAUACAAAGUUGAGGAUAAAUAAACAAAUUCAAGGAACAAAAAAGUCAAAACUGGAUAACAAUUUCUUCAAAUCAAUAAAUGUCUUAGAAAAAUAAGAAAACUAACACAGUGAAAAUUAUUUUUUUCACAAUCAGAGUUUCAACAAUAUUAUUCAUUUCUAAUUGGACAAGAAUUCAAGAUUUCCAGAUCGGAAAAUAAAUAUUAGAAAAAUUAUCGCGUACAGAGUUGCGCUGUUGCAACUUAGAAUUAUUUACAUAUUAUGAAGAAACCGCAUUCAAGAUUCAUCAAAAUCUUAACUAAGCUCAAUAACUGACAGUCAAACAAUCUGAAAAAAAAAUGUUUGGGUUAUAAUUUCCUUACUUAAAUGCUUAUAACAAUCAAUCAAUGAAUAAUUUUGUUUGAUCAUAACUGGGUCACAAAAAACAUAUUUAAUGAUGCAAUUAUGUCAAACUCAUGGUCAAAUAAUCAAUUACUUGAAUAAUGUUUUAGAUUUAAUAAUAAAAAAUGUACUCAAUAGACCUAUAGAUAUCUGUUUUUAAUGUUUUCUUUCUGUUUUAAAAAAUUGAUUUGUACUGUCUUUUUUAAAUUUAUGUUUUAGUGGUAAUGUUUCCUAACUCAUUAUGGUCAUAAUUGAUCUCAAUAUUAUUAUAAUUUAUAAUUUUUUGCGC
rnacentral:lncRNA from 1 species